rnacentral:rRNA from 1 species
GAUGAACGCUGGCCGCGUGCCUAAUACAUGCAAGUCGAGCGAACAGAUGAGGAGCUUGCUCCUCUGACGUUAGCGGCGGACGGGUGAGUAACACGUGGAUAACCUACCUAUAAGACUGGGAUAACUUCGGGAAACCGGAGCUAAUACCGGAUAAUAUAUUGAACCGCAUGGUUCAAUAGUGAAAGACGGUUUUGCUGUCACUUAUAGAUGGAUCCGCGCCGCAUUAGCUAGUUGGUAAGGUAACGGCUUACCAAGGCAACGAUGCGUAGCCGACCUGAGAGGGUGAUCGGCCACACUGGAACUGAGACACGGUCCAGACUCCUACGGGAGGCAGCAGUAGGGAAUCUUCCGCAAUGGGCGAAAGCCUGACGGAGCAACGCCGCGUGAGUGAUGAAGGUCUUCGGAUCGUAAAACUCUGUUAUUAGGGAAGAACAAAUGUGUAAGUAACUAUGCACGUCUUGACGGUACCUAAUCAGAAAGCCACGGCUAACUACGU